GAUGAACGCUGGCGGCGUGCCUAAUACAUGCAAGUCGAGCGAACGGACGAGAAGCUUGCUUCUCUGAUGUUAGCGGCGGACGGGAGAGUAACACGUGGAUAACCUACCUAUAAGACUGGGAUAACUUCGGGAAACCGGAGCUAAUACCGGAUAAUAUUUUGAACCGCAUGGUUCAAAAGUGAAAGACGGUCUUGCUGUCACUUAUAGAUGGAUCCGCGCUGCAUUAGCUAGUUGGUAAGGUAACGGCUUACCAAGGCAACGAUGCAUAGCCGACCUGAGAGGGCGAUCGGCCACACUGGAACUGAGACACGGUCCAGACUCCUACGGGAGGCAGCAGUAGGGAAUCUUCCGCAAUGGGCGAAAGCCUGACGGAGCAACGCCGCGUGAGUGAUGAAGGUCUUCGGAUCGUAAAACUCUGUUAUUAGGGAAGAACAUAUGUGUAAGUAACUGUGCACAUCUUGACGGUACCUAAUCAGAAAGCCACGGCUAACUACGUG
rnacentral:rRNA from 1 species